AAAAAAAAAAAAAAAAAAAAAAAAAGGGUCUUUGCUGUCACAAUUAAGCCUCUCAACAUGAGAUCAUCCUGGAUUGUUUAGAUGGGCCCUAAAUAUCACAACUAGAGUUUUGUUGUUGUUGUUGUUGGUUUGUUUCUUUGUUUUUGUGACGGAGUCUCACUCUAUCACCCGGCUGGAGUGCAGUGGUGUGAUCUUGGCUCACUGCAACCUCCACCUCCCGGGUCCAAGCGACUUUCCUGCCUCACCGUCCUGAGUAGCUGGGAUGACAGGUGCCCCCACCACACCCAGCCUAAUUUUUGUAUUUUUAGUAGAGACGGGGUUUCACCAUGUUGGCCAGGCUGGUCUCGAACUCCUGACCUCAAGCGAACAACUAGCAUUUUUAUAAACUACAGAAGACGGUGGCUAUUCAUCUGCCCCCUCUCUCCUGGGUAUUUGCGUGUCAGGUGCAGAGAUGGAGUCUUCUGAGGGCGCACAUCACAGCGUAGACAGAAAGUUGAGGUUGUACAUGCCGCAGGUUCCAGAUGGAAAUCACUAGUGCCUCCUCUUCUCUCUAAUAGGCACACUAGACACAGCAGGUGCAUUUUGGCGGUGGGAUGAGGUCCGACAGUCACCUUUAUUUUUUAUUUAUGUAUUCAUUAGUAUUAUUAUUUUUUGAGACUGAGUCUUAAACUGUCACCCAGGCUGGAGUGCAGUGGCGGCAUCUCGGCUCACUGCAACCUCCACUUCCCAGGUUCAAGGGAUUCUCCUGCCUCAGCCUCCUGAGUAGCUGGGAUUAUAGGCGCCCAUCACCAUGCCCAGCUAAUUUUUGUAUUUUUAGUAGGGACGGGGUUCGCCAUGUUGGUGAGGCUGGUCUCCAACUCUUUUUUUUUUUUUUUUUUUUUUUUGAGACGGAGUCUCGCUGUCUCCCAGGCUGGAGUUCAGUGCCUCAAUCUCGGCUCACUGCAAGCUCCACCUCCCGUGUUCUCGCCAUUCUCCUGCCUCAGCCUCCCCAGUAGCUGGGACUACAGGCGCCCGCCACCACACCUGGCUAAUUUUUUGUAUUUUUAGCCAUGGGGUUUCACCAUGUUAGCCAGGAUGGUCUCAAUCUCCUGACCUCGUGAUCUGCCUGCCUCGGCCUCCCAAAGUGCUGGGAUUACAGACAUGUGCCACCACGCCUGGCUAAUUUUUUGUAUUUUUAGUAGAGAUGGGGUUUCACCGUGUUGGCCAGGCUGGUCUCGAACUCCUGACCUUGGAUGAUCUGCUCGCCUCGGCCUCCCAAAUUGCUGGGAUGACAGACGUGAACCACCGUGCCUGGCCGACAGUCACCUUUAGAAUGUGAACAGUGGACACUGUGUUGGGGUCUCCUACCUGUGCCUGUGAUGUGGACUGGCCCAUCUCGUCAUGGACAAGUAGAGAUGGGGUUUCACCAUGUUGAGCAGUCUGGUCUUGAACUUCUGACCUCGUGAUCCACCCGCCUCAGCCCCCCAAAGUGCUGGGAUUACAGGCGUGAGCCACCGCGCCCGGCCUGAGACGGCUUUCCAAGGCUGCAGAAAUGAAGUCUGCAAUAGCAGAUCCUCUUUGCCUGGGUUUGCACGUGAUCCAGCAAACCACCCACCGACCCGUUGCCUCAUGUGAGACAUCCUCAGGGAACAGCAAGAAUUUUGAAGGUCCCUGAUAAGACAUCUUUGAGGUCAGGCAUAAAUCAUCACUUCACAUCUUGACGGCAAUGCAACGAAGACAAGUAUCUGUCUCUUUGGGUCUGUCUAACAAGGAGCAAAGCCUGGCCUCCCACCAGCAUCCAGACAAUAGUGGAUUCCCUCUCCAUAGAUGUCAAAAAAGAAACAGAUGCUCCCGCAGGUGAAAUGAGCUCUGGUCCACAAUGCAACGCAGGCUGUGCAGAAAAUCAAAGAGGAACCAACCCAGAAGUAUCCCCCAGGACAAAUCAUUAAGGGGGAAAAGGUAAGACACUUGUUCUCACUUUGCCUUCUGCCAUGUUUGUAAGUUUCCUGAUGUCUCCUCUGAGCCUCCAGAAGGAACCAAGCCUACUGAUACCUUGAUCUCAGCUGUUGGCCUCCAGAAGUUCGAGAGAACAGACGUCUGCUGUUUCAAGCCACGCAGUUGUUGGUAUUUUUCUACAACAGCAUCUGAAUCCUAAUGCAUGCCCUCUAACUGUGGGAUCGAUUUUGGGGUGCUGAGAUGUGGCCUGUUUCUCCUAUGACCUUCCUUGUGUUUUUAGUGCUCUUGGAAGAAGAGAGAAUUAAGCAUAGAAUACCCACAGAGAGGAAUCUCUCUUUCUUUUUUUUUUUCUUUGAGACAGAGUCUUGCUCUGUCACCAGGCUGGGAGUUCAGUGGCACGAUCUCGGCUCACUGCAACAUCCGUCUCUCAGAUUCAAGCAAUUCUCCUGUCUCAGCCUCCCAAGUAGCAGGGACUACAGGCGCAUGCCACCACGGCCGGCUGAUUUUUUUUUUUUUUUUUUUUUUUUGUAUUUUUAGUAGACAUGGGGUUUCACCAUCUUGUCUAGGAUGGUCUCGAUCUCCUGACCUUGUGAUCUGCCCACCUCAGACUCCCAAAGUGCUGGGAUUGAGGAAUCUUUCAACCCCUUGCUACCUUUCAAAUUGCAUAGGAACAUUGAAAAGAUGAUAAAAUGUGGAGGCUCAAAGAAAACAAGCAGUGUUCAGCAUUCCGAAAGUGGCCUGGUUUGAGGAAAUUAAUUAUUUGGCAUCUCUGAACAAGUGGUGUUUUGGACUCCUAAACUUAAAGAUAAAUACAUAUUGUUUCCUACCCUUCAUUCGUCUUCCUUCUCCUCGCCCGACCCAGAACUCCAAGAAGGCUAAUCUCUUCUGCAAUAUCGUAAUGGCCUUGAAGCAAUCUAACAUCUGUGUUCUUCCUUUCCUCAUCUAUGAAAUUACUUUCAAAUAACCAAAUUAAACAGGAUCUUCCAUUUGGGCUGGAAUGGUAAGAGCGGCAGAGGACAGCAUGUUCCCAUUUAUAAUAGCAGGCACGGAAAUUCAACCAGACUUUGCUGAUCUAAGAGAUGCUCUUGGAAGACCCCAUUACUUAAAUGAUCUAGAAAAUGUCCUCCCGAGUCAAGGUCUCUGCAAAUGUAAUGAGUCCAGACACCAAGGGAAACGGAGAAGAUAAGAAGCAGAGAUUGAGGACAAUCCAUGUCCAUUUACCUGUGUUCUGUGAGACAGAUGAAGCCUGGACUUCUGCUAUCCUGCCCUUGCUGGGAAUGAGCAGGGUUGUACCUGCACUCAUCAUGGAAUAAGCACUAAAGAAACAAAGCUACAACAGAAGAUGUCCUCUACUGCAGGGCACCUUACAUUCCAAUCCUCCAAUAUGGCAGCGAGUCAAAAUCUCAAAAGACCUGAGUGCCUUCUGCGUAAGUCCCCGUAGGCUUCUAGUAUUCAUUUUACAAGUAUACUGAUGCUCUCAGUUGAUGCUGAGGGGGUGGCUGUUCAUGAAGAUGAUGGAAUUGGCUUCGGCAGAGGUCUCUCUUUGACCAUCUAGAGGCACUGUUGCUUAUCUAUCAGGAAACGGAGGGAGGCACUGGGAAUUUGAACUCGAGCUCUGGAGUUCUUCCAUGCAGCUGUGUUUACGUAUCAUCAAGCACCGAUUCAUUGCCCGUUGGGACAGAGGAGAAUCAGGCCUGGUCUGGCAUCAUUGCCGGGUGGGUGUGAAAUGCCACUUCUACCGAGACCAACUGGAAAUGAAAGAUCGUCAACAGUCAAAAAGGUCACUGCAUAAAUGCCUGUGAAGUCCAAGUAACUGUCAGAGACAGAAUACGCUUUGCAGCGGAGAGUUUUCCAGGAAAGAAAAAUGGUCUCUGUGAAUGUUCUUUGGGAGGCCACGGAUGGCUUGUUCUGAAGUGAAUGGAAUUGCUUUGCAGAAGACGCAUAGCCAGGCUGAGUUCAGGAGGUAUCUCUUUUUUUUUUUUUUUUUUUUUUUGAGACGGAGUCUCGCUCUGUUGCCCAGGCUGGAGUGCAGUGGCACAAUCUCAGCUCACUGCAACCUCUGCUUCCCGGGUUCAAGCAAUUCUCCUGUCUCCACCUCCCGAGUAGCUGGCAUUACAGGCACUGCCACCAAGCCUGGCUAAUUUUUGUAUUUUUAGUAGAGAUGGAGUUUCACGAUGUUGGCCAGGCUAGUCUCGAACUCCUGACCUCAAGUGAUCCACCCACCUCAGCCUCUCAAAGUGCUGGGAUAACAGACGUGAGCCACUGCACCCGGCCCAGGAGGUGUCUUAAUCCAUUUGCUGUUGCUACAACAGAGUAACACCGUCUGGGUAAUUCACAGAAGAAGUUUAUUUUGUAAAGUCCUGGAGGCUGGCAAGUCCAAAAGGCAUGGUGCCUGCAUCUGAUGAGAGCCUCUUGCUAUAGUACAACAUAGUGGAGGACUUAUAAUGCCACCAGCUCUGUCCAUGUGGGCCUCGCUUUGAUGAUCUUACCUAAUUCUAAUUGUCUCCUAAGGGUGCCACUCCAAAUACUACAACAUACUAAUUUGAGAGAGAAGUUUCCAACACAUGAAGCUUGGGAGACACAAACCAUACAGGGUGGAGUCAAGACGGCUUGUUUAAUUCGGCCAACUUGAGCAAAGAGGCAUAAUGGUUAUUGCCUCUCUGGGUUCACUAAACACAUAAACAUGCCCACACUAAUAAUUCAUGUCGACCGCAGUACUCUCUGCUUUUCCUGAAUAGCAUAUUGUGUUGAACAGGUUAUACGACCUUGGGUAGAGACUUAGCUCUCUUUAAGCCUCCAUUUCUCAUCUGUAAAAUGAGAAUGAAAGAUGGUUUCUCCGUAUUUAUGGAAGGGUUCCAACAAGGUAAAGUGUGUAGCGUACUUUGUCAAUUCUAAAGCACUCUUCUGAUAUAAAUUAUAGCAUCCCCGGAUUCAUUGUUUGAGUUGGUUUCUUUUUUAAAAUUAAUUUCUGUUGUAUGUAUUUAAGGUGUGCAACAUGAUUUUUUGAUAUAGUGACAUAGUGAAAUGAUUAUAAUUGUUAAGAAAAUGAACACAGCUAUCAUCUCACAUAUUUACCUUUUUUGCGACAAGAGCACCUUAAAUCUACUCUCUUAACAAAAAUCCUAAAUAUGAAAUGUAUUAUAGUCCUUAUAUUUUGCAUUUGAUUUCUAGACUUAUUCUACAUCAUCUAUAACAACCACCAUUUUUUCUAUUUCUAUAUAUUUUCUUUCUUCCUUCCUUCCUUCUUUCCUUUCUUCCUUUUUUCUGAUAAGGAGUCUCGCUCUUUCGCCCAGGCUGGAGUGCAGUGGCGUGAUCUUGGCUCACUGCAAGCUCCGCCUCCCGGGUUCACGCCAUUCUCCUGCCUCAGCCUCCUGAGUAGCUGGGACUGCAGGCACCCACCACCAUGCCCAGCUAAUUUUUUGUAUUUUGUAUUUGCCUUCCUUUCUUUUUCAUUUCCUUCUUUCUGCCUUCUUUUCAUUCUUUUAUUUUUGUAGAUUCUUUAUAUAAGUGAGAUCCAAUACUUUUAACUGAAUGUGAACAUUUCUUUUACAAAAUAAAAUGUAUGUUCAGGCUUUUACUUAAUCCAUGCUAGUAAGAGCCUGGUUCAAAAAUGAGCUGCAGGUUUUUUCAAAGAGAAUCACAAUCAUUUCUGUGGAAUAGGUGAAGUGAAAGACAUUUUUAGAAAGUUUGCAUCUUUUUGCAGAGACUUUUAAUGAAGGGGUUUAUGUUUUCCGCUCUGUUCGUUUACUGAAAGCAAAAGAAGAAAAGUGAGGAAGGGAUUAUACAAAGAAAGUGACUGAAAAAUUCUGAAAAUAUCUGUUUUCAUAAGAUAAGAGCUUUAUUCUAGUUCUGAACAUAUAAUCAUAGUCAUCAUUGUCCUUAUUUAAAUAAAAACAGCUAGCUGGGCAACUUAGUCUCAUUGAAAUUCCUGAGAUCUUCAUUCUUUCUUGGUAUUUGGCUGAAAAAAGAAUAAGUUUAUCUCAUUCUUUUCCCAAAGUAUAGCACAAGGUUGAGAGCCUGGACUCGUGGCAUGCAUACCUAAUGAGACCGUUGUAUUACUUGGGGUGAAACUCCUUCCAUUUGACUUGAUGUAGUUAUUUUCUUUUUCUUGCAAGGGAAGCAAACUUUGGGUUCUACCUGGGUCUUCCUUAAGCAUCAGGUGUGUUUCAAAUGGAUAGAUUUAAUAAUAAUUGAUCCACUAAUAAUUGAUCCACUGGGCAAUGAUUUUUUAAAUGUUUGUUUUCAAAUUUAAAACAAUGCCUCAAGUUUAGAAAUGCCUCUCCUCGGCCGGGC
rnacentral:lncRNA from 10 species